UACGUAGGUGGCAAGCGUUGUCCGGAAUUACUGGGCGUAAAGAGCAUGUAGGCGGUUUUUUAAGUCCGGAGUGAAAAUGCGGGGCUCAACCCCGUAUGGCUCUGGAUACUGGAAGACUUGAGUGCAGGAGAGGAAAGGGGAAUUCCCAGUGUAGCGGUGAAAUGCGUAGAUAUUAGGAGGAACACCAGUGGCGAAGGCGACUUUCUGGACAGUAACUGACGUUGAGAUGCGAAAGCCAGGGUAGCGAACGGG
rnacentral:rRNA from 1 species